rnacentral:ncRNA from 2 species
UAAGAAACAAAGGGGUGCCCUUUCAAGAGAAAAGGGCUGAGAUGAUACCCUCACACCUGAUGCAGUUCGUACUGCCGUAGGGAUUGUUGAUGAGCUCUGA